rnacentral:rRNA from 1 species
AAUCCCUACGGGACGCAGCAGUGGGGAAUAUUGCACAAUGGGGGAAACCCUGAUGCAGCGACGCCGCGUGAGUGAAGAAGUAUUUCGGUAUGUAAAGCUCUAUCAGCAGGGAAGAGACCCACCCUUUGGGGUGGCUGACGGUACCUGACUAAGAAGCCCCGGCUAACUACGUGCCAGCAGCCGCGGUAAUACGUAGGGGGCAAGCGUUAUCCGGAUUUACUGGUUGUAAAGGGAGCGUAGGUGGCAAGGCAAGUCAGAUGUGAAAACCCGGGGCCCACCCCCGGGCGUGCAUUUGAAACUGUCUG